rnacentral:rRNA from 1 species
UACAGAGGUCUCAAGCGUUGUUCGGAUUCAUUGGGCGUAAAGGGUGCGUAGGUGGCGCGCUAAGUCAGGUGUGAAAUCUCGGAGCUUAACUCCGAAACUGCAUUUGAUACUGGCGUGCUUGAGGACUGGAGAGGAGACUGGAAUUCACGGUGUAGCAGUGAAAUGCGUAGAUAUCGUGAGGAAGACCAGUGGCGAAGGCGGGUCUCUGGACAGUCCCUGACACUGAGGCACGAAGGCCAGGGGAGCAAACGGG